GCAACGGUAGCAAAUUUAACACGUAGCAUUUCCCUAGUUGACCAGAGAAGUGCAAACCCAAUGCCACCACAAUUCAUCCUACAGCUGUAAACUUCAUCAGUGAAGAGAAAGUGUGAAGUUUAGUGGCCGCCUCAACUUGUUCUAGCUUUUCAAACUACUCCACCAGCUUCCCUUACAAAUGCUUGAAAGCGGUUUCUUCGCAUUUCUUGUGUACGGUAGAACACCAGACAAUAAGUCCAGAACCACUUCUGUUGACUUUUUGUUGACAUAGUCACUAAAAGUCAAGAAAGCGUUUGACAAUGGCAUUUGUUUGUUCGUGUAACGAGGAAAACCAAGCAAGAACAACAAAAGAAGGAAGCCAUGGUUAUUAGUUACAGGUUGCUCUCGCUCAAGCAAUGCUGCUACAACUCCUCCUUGUUUCUUGGACAAGCCUCUUGAUCUCCCCUUGCAACUCCAUCAAAUUUCGGCGCAGAGAUCCAUAUCAGAUCCAUCCUCUGGAUGCCGACAUCAUCGCUUACAAGAUCCGCCUCCACAUCGCCCAGAGAAUCCAGCCGCGAGUCACGUACCAGCCCCAGAGCUGGGACACUUUCUUCACUCUCGCCUCGGGGCCAAACUUACACGCCUUCUCGAGGCUCUCGCUUUACGGCCGCGACUCGAGUGGCAAAUGCACUGGCAGCCCCUGCCCGCUUUACAUGCCCGGCGCCGUUUUGCGACGAGCCUUCGAGUUCCUGGCAGAUUGCAUCGCGGACGAGACACGCCGAGGCCUCUACGGCCACAUUUUCGCGACCAUGGGCAUCAUAGGAAUCGACUACGCUGUCAUUCAAUACGAAGAGAGGAGUUUUAGUAAUGGCUAUGAAUUCAGCAACACCACUGACCUGGACCUGUAUCGUCGUCACGGCUUUCCCGGGAGGAGUUCUAGCGAGAAAAGUGUUCGUCUUGGCACCACCUACAAGUCUUACGUUAGCUCUCCCGAUCACGACCUGGAAGAGGGAAAGAAUACAACUCACCUCCUGAUGGACGAAGACUGCGACCUCUUUGUCUCGUGCAUGGAAAGUGGAGGACGGGGAGACGAAGGAUCGGAGCUCUACGCCGGACAGCGUCUUGUGUCACUCAAUGGCAUCGUUGAGCUGGUUGUGGAGGAAACCUGUAACUUAGUGCUGUAUGCGAGGGGGAUAAGGAGACUGUGGUCGAGUGAUACCUCUGGACAAGGUGGAGGCAGUGGAUGCACGCUCACUCUCCAAAGGGAUGGGAACUUGGUGUUCUUGGGACGUGAUGGAAAAGGCUUCUGGGCGACGAACGUCUACUGCCAGCCGCAACCGAAUUCUAUCCUCUCAACUCGUUUGGUGGUCGAGGAUGACGGGCAUUUGUCUCUGUACCAAGAAGCGGCACCAAUGCGUUUGCUGUGGCGACGACCAUAGCUUUUUACUGCGAGAAAGAAAGUUAACCACAAGAGCACAAGAACGAAAGUAGUGGCUUACUUGAUCACUGCCACCAACAUGAGAAAGACAUUUUGAAGUCGUCAAUAGCAGCUCACGGUCACCACACGCGUAGGCUAAGCUGGACCCACGCAAGAGCCCUCCUCAAAUCCCCAGAACUCCUCGAACAGUAAACAUGGAUUCGAGGAACAGCAGAAAGCUUCAAAGGGCCGGUGCCCCCAAGACUACCGUUCACUUUGCGGACGAGGUAAGCAUUCAAGUUCCUUCUUCCGGCUCUGCUCUCGCUUCUCCACCGUCUCCAC
rnacentral:lncRNA from 1 species